rnacentral:sRNA from 1 species
GGCAGGGAAGGCCAAAGGUCCAAGGGAGCCGGCCCAGGGAGCCCUGGCCCUGACCUCCCAGAGGCUCUAGCUCUGUGGGUGAAGGCUGCUGUGGCACCAGCCGGGGGCAGGUCUUCACAGUCAACAGACUCUGGUGGAAGUGUCCUGGAUCCCAGGGCCAGGUCAGGCCCCCAGACAGGGGAGUAGACGUGCUUUAUAAAUGGGGAAGGGCCUGCUUCCUGAGUCGGAGGCUGAGAGGAUGGAGGGUGCAGCCUUAGUACUGGGCACCUCGGUGACAUAUAUCACACCCAUGCCCAGCAGCCUACCCCGUGCGGUGCCUGCUGCCCAGUGCCCAUGGCUCUUGCACAGACUGGGCUGCCCGCUGGUACUUCGUUGCAUCUGUGGGCCAAUGUAACCGCUUCUGGUAUGGUGGCUGCCAUGGCAAUGCCAAUAACUUUGCCUCGGAGCAAGAGUGCAUGAGCAGCUGCCAGGAAUCUCUCCACGGGCCCCGUCGUCCCCAGCCUGGGGCUUCUGGAAGGAGCACCCACACGGAUGGUGGCGGCAGCAGUCCUGCAGGCGAGCAGGAACCCAGCCAGCACAGGACAGGGGCCGUGGUGCAGAGAAAGCCCUGGCCUUCUGGUGGUCUCUGGCGGCAAGACCAACAGCCUGGGCUAGGGGAGGCCCCCCACACCCAUGCCUUUGGAGAAUGGCCAUGGGGGCAGGAGCUUGGGUCCAGGGCCCCUGGACUGGGCGGAGAUGCCGGAUCACUAGCGCCACCCUUCCACAGCUCCUCCUACAGGUGAGGCCCACCUUCCCCAGGUGGGGGUGGGGGGGUUAGGACGCCCAGGCCAGGAGCACACCAGUUGGAGCUAAACCCCUGAAGUCAGCCGGCCCUCCCUCCCCACCCCUAACUUCUGUUUCUCCCGAGAGCCCUGCCUGGUGGGCCUUGUUGCCGUCAUUCUACAGAUGGAGAAGCUGGGGCUUCAGAGACUUGAGGCUACUCUGAUGUCUAAUAGACAUCUGUACAGAUGGUGGCUCCGGGGUUCUCCAUCAGAUCUCGCCAGUAUACCCCGGGGCCUGUCUGGCUGGAAAAGCUUAUUGGCUUCAUGACCUUCGGCAAGUCACCCAGCUUCUCCAAGCCUCAGUUUCUUGACCUGUAAAAUGGUGGCAUUACCUCCUGCCCUGUAUGCCUCACAGGUGUGGGUCCUGGUCAAGAUGAUUCUUGGGACUGGGUCAUAUUAAUGAGGGAUUUGGGAAGGUUAAAAACAAAAUUAAAAACGUUGUGUUCCACAUGGGUUGAGGGUGUAGUUUAGCCCCCACAUAAACCUGGUGUGUGCCGUCCCUCCCGACCUCUCCCCACCCCCCGGGCUUUGCACCUACCUUGUUGCUGCUACAAGAAGAGGUUGAGGCAGCGAUGCCUGGGGGAGCGGGGGGCAGGUUGGGGAGGGUGGAUUCCUGAAUCCAUGGGCUUCUGGGGCUCUGCCUCCCAUAGGGACCCUCUAACCCCAAAAGUGCCUGUGACAGGAUGGGCCCCAAGUUGUCUGUCAUGGAACACACUGCUUAGGGUGGUUCUGGUCCUGGCGCUCGUGCCAGUCAGCAGAUCUUACUUCCCACCUCUCCAGGAUUAGCUUGGCAGGUGUGGAGCCCUCGUUGGUGCAGGCAGCCCUGGGGCAGUCGGUGCGGCUCUCCUGCUCGGAUGACACUGCCCCGGAAUCCCAGGCUGCCUGGCAGAAAGAUGGCCAGCCUAUCUCCUCUGACAGGCACAGGCUGCAGUCUGACGGCUCCCUGAUCAUCCACCCGCUGCAGGCAGAGGACGUGGGCACCUACAGCUGUGGCAGCACCCGGCCAGGCCGCAACUCCCAGAAGAUCCAGCUUCGCAUCAUAGGGGGUGACGUGGCCGUGCUGUCUCAGGCUGAGCUGAGCCGCUUCCCUCAGCCCAGGGACCCAGCUCAGGACUUUGGCCAAGCGGGGGCUGCUGGGCCCCUGGGGGCCAUCCCCUCUUCACACCCACAGCCUGCAAACAGGCUGCGUUUGGACCAGAACCAGCCCCGGGUGGUGGACGCCAGUCCAGGCCAGCGGAUCCGGAUGACCUGCCGUGCCGAAGGCUUCCCGCCCCCAGCCAUCGAGUGGCAGAGAGAUGGGCAGCCUGUGUCUUCUCCCAGACACCAGCUGCAGCCUGAUGGCUCCCUGGUCAUUAGCCGAGUGGCUGUAGAAGAUGGCGGCUUCUACACCUGUGUCGCUUUCAACGGGCAGGACCAAGACCAGCGAUGGGUCCAGCUCAGAGUUCUGGGGGAGCUGACAAUCUCAGGACUGCCCCCUACUGUGACAGUGCCAGAAGGUGACACCGCUAGGCUGUCGUGUGUGGUAGCAGGAGAAAGUGUGAACAUCAGGUGGUCCAGGAACGGGCUACCUGUGCAGGCUGAUGGCCACCAUGUCCACCAGUCCCCAGAUGGCACGCUGCUCAUUUACAACUUGCGGGCCAGGGAUGAGGGCUCCUACACAUGCAGCGCCUACCAGGGGAGUCAGGCAGUCAGCCGCAGCACCGAGGUGAAGGUGGUCUCACCAGCACCCACCGCCCAGCCCAGGGACCCUGGCAGGGACUGCGUCGACCAGCCAGAGCUGGCCAACUGUGAUUUGAUCCUGCAGGCCCAGCUUUGUGGCAAUGAGUAUUACUCCAGCUUCUGCUGUGCCAGCUGUUCACGUUUCCAGCCUCACGCUCAGCCCAUCUGGCAGUAGGGAUGAAGGCUAGUUCCAGCCCCAGUCCAAAAUAGUUCAUAGGGCUGGGGAGAAAGGAAGAUGGACUCUUGGCUUCCUCUCUGUGGCUGGCAAAGGGAGUUAUCUUCUGGAAUACAUUAGCUCUUUCAAAAACCCACCCAGUGUUUAGCCUCAACGGCAGCCAGUACCAGCUUCCCUCUGUGCAGUAUUUGCAUCUCUGACAUAACCACAGGCUGCUUGUUGUCAAGAACAGCAAUCUGUUUGGAUAAGAAUAACCUUUACUUUACAGCUUCCCUUUAUAAUUUGUUACACAGGAAUAGUUACAUGCAUUUGUUUGUUUGUUUUUUGAGAUGGAGUUUUAUUCUUGUUGCCCAGGCUGGAGUGUGCAAUGGUGUGAUCUCAGCUCACUGCAACCUCCGCCUCCUGGGUUCGUGAUUCUCCUGUGUCAGCCUUUCUGAGUAGCUAGGAUUACAGAUGCCUAUCACCACGCCUGGGUAAUUUUUGUAUUUUUAGUUGAGAUGGAGGUUUCACCACGUUGGCUAGGCUGGUCUCGAACUUCUGACCUCAGAUGAUCUGCCCGCCUCAGCCUCCCAAAGUGCUGGGAUUACAGGCAUGAGCCACCACGCCCAGCCAUCAGUGCAUUUUUUUAUUUUUUUUUGAGACAGAGUUUCGCUCUUCUUGCCCUGGCUGGAGUACAAUGGUGCGAUCUUGGCUCACUGCAACCUCCGCCUCCCGGGUUCAAGCGAUUCUCCAGCCUCAGCCUCCUGAGUAGCUGGGAUUACAGGCAUGUGCCACCAUGCCUAGCUAAUUUUGUAUUUUUAGUAGAGAUGGGGUUUCUCCAUGUUGGUCAGACUGGUCUUGAACUCCCGACCUCAGGUGAUCCGCCCGCCUCGGCCUCCCAAAAUGCUGGGAUUAGAGGCGUGAGCCACUGUGCCCGGCCCAUCAAUGUGUUUUAAAGCUAGCUGUCAGGGCUCCACUUAAUUUAAAGCUGGGCAGGGAGAUUGUGUAAUGAUUUCAAAGUUAACACCUGUUUUCUAAAGGGCAUGCCAAGUCCUGCUGUAUCAGGGAAGUAUUCUGUGCUAGAAUCAGCGAUGGUUCAUUGCUCUAGUCUCUCUCACCUUUCUAGGCAGUGCCUCAGUCAGCUCUAAAUCCGGUGCAGAGGGUUAACAGCAUAACCCUUGUUGGCAAAAUGGAAUAGAUGUAAGACCUCAAAUAGGGAUUUGGGAUGAAACAGCUGCAGUUAGCACUGUUAUCUGAGCAUGAAAGAACUGGAAAAGCUCCUUACAUCAUCGAGAUGUUGGACCUUGAAGCCCUCCUGAGGCCAACAUGCAAAUCUGGCUGUGAAGGUUCAUCUGACACCUGUGUAAAGCUGACCAGCCUGCUCUGUACAGUGACAAUGAGGAGCCCCUCUCUUCCUUAAGAAUCUGUGGAGCAAAAUGUUUGCUGCCAGAGAAAAAUCAGACUGUCACUAAAAACAGCAUUAGCAGGAUGCGGAUACCAAUGGGGAAGGGUUGUGGGCAAUGCAGUAACAGGGAAAUGGCUUCAGAAAUGGUUUGAGUUGGAAGACAACAUUCUUCAUCUCUCAGGACUUCUAAUUCCUUGAUGCUAAAAGAAGAGGCCUGGAUUCUAUGAGCUUCCAAGUCCCUUUUCACUUUAACCUUCUACAAAUCUUCCAGAGGACUGCCUAGUAGCAAAGGUUAUUCCUGGACACAGGAAAGACAGACAGGCAUUACAGGGACCAAAGCUCUGAAAGGUGACUUUUAUUACCAACACACUGGCUGGAAAAGGGACAAACCACAUCACGGGUGAGUGAUACUUCUCAGUCUACUCUACUCAUUCAACAAAGGAAAUGUGGGCUGGGGCAGAGGUCUUUUUUCAUUUAAUACUGGAAAAAUACUGAAGAGCAUCCAUGUUCACUUAUGGCUGGUUUUGCUAUAGAAAUUGGAAAAUAAAGGCCACUUUCUUGAAC